CACAUGGUUAUCCCAUGGAUGCUUCCAAGAAUCCACUCUGAUAGAGAUGCUUCAGGAUUCUAAUGGCCAAGAGCUUGUAUCCCUCCACAGAGCAUAUACACUAAAAAGAACCACUGAAAUGACCAAUUCCUGUGAUCAUCCAUGAACAUGAGUUCACAGCCAGUCACAGAGCAUCAUAUCUGCCCUGCCGGAGCCUGAAAGUUCUUAUCAGUUUGAAUUUUUUAUUUGUUUUAUUAAAUAACGCAUAGGUUCUGCGAUGAAUCCAACAGAGAAAAAUGGGAGCAAGAAAAUGGGUAA